rnacentral:rRNA from 1 species
CAGCCGCCACGGGAAUACGAAGGGUGCAAGCGUUACUCGGAAUUACUGGGCGUAAAGCGUGCGUAGGUGGUGGUUUAAGUCCGUUGUGAAAGCCCUGGGCUCAACCUGGGAAUUGCAGUGGAUACUGGAUCACUAGAGUGUGGUAGAGGAUAGUGGAAUUUCCGGUGUAGCAGUGAAAUGCGUAGAGAUCGGAAGGAACAUCUGUGGCGAAGGCGACUAUCUGGGCCAACACUGACACUGAGGCACGAAAGCGUGGGGAGCAAACAGGAUUAGAUACCCGAGUAGUCCCUGUCUCUUAUAC